rnacentral:rRNA from 1 species
GACGUAGGGGGCCAGCGUUGUUCGGAAUUACUGGGUGUAAAGGGUUCGUAGGCGGUGCGGCAAGUCGGGCGUGAAAUCUCUGGGCUUAACCCAGAGGCUGCUUCCGAAACUGCUGUGCUUGAGUGUGGGAGAGGCGCGUGGAAUUGCAGGUGUAGCGGUGAAAUGCGUAGAUAUCGGGAGGAACACCAGUGGCGAAGGCGACUUCCUGGCCUGUUCUUGACGCUGAGGCGCGAAAGCUAGGGGAGCGAACGGG